GGCCUACGGGCGGCUGCAGUGGGGAAUCUUCCGCAAUGGGCGAAAGCCUGACGGAGCAACGCCGCGUGGGUGAAGAAGGCCUUCGGGUUGUAAAGCCCUGUCUUAUGGGAAGAAAAAAAUGACGGUACCAUAGGAGGAAGCCACGGCUAACUACGUGCCAGCAGCCGCGGUAAUACGUAGGUGGCAAGCGUUGUCCGGAAUUACUGGGCGUAAAGGGCGUGUAGGCGGGCUAUUAAGUCAGAUGUGAAAUAUCCGGGCUCAAGCUGGAGGGUGCAUCUGAUACUGGAAGCCUUGAGUGCAGGAGAGGACAGUGGAAUUCCUAGUGUAGCGGUGAAAUGCGUAGAUAUUAGGAGGAACACCAGUGGCGAAGGCGGCUGUCUGGACUGUAACUGACGCUGAGGCGCGAAAGCGUGGGGAGCAAACAGGAUUAGAUACCCCUGUAGUC
rnacentral:rRNA from 1 species